rnacentral:sRNA from 1 species
GCCAGGCAUGGUGGCUCAUGCCUGUAAUCCCAGCACUUUGGGAGGCUGAGGUGGGUGGAUCGCUUGAGGUCAGGAGUUCGAGACCAGCCUGACCAACAUGGUGAAACCCCAUCUCUA